ACGAACGCUGGCGGCGUGCCUAAUACAUGCAAGUAGAACGCUGAAGGAGGAGCUUGCUUCUCUGGAUGAGUUGCGAACGGGUGAGUAACGCGUAGGUAACCUGCCUGGUAGCGGGGGAUAGCUAUUGGAAACGAUAGCUAAUACCGCAUAAGAGUAGAUGUUGCAUGACAUUUGCUUAAAAGGUGCAAUUGCAUCACUACCAGAUGGACCUGCGUUGUAUUAGCUAGUUGGUGGGGUAACGGCUCACCAAGGCGACGAUACAUAGCCGACCUGAGAGGGUGAUCGGCCACACUGGGACUGAGACACGGCCCAGACUCCUACGGGAGGCAGCAGUAGGGAAUCUUCGGCAAUGGACGGAAGUCUGACCGAGCAACGCCGCGUGAGUGAAGAAGGUUUUCGGAUCGUAAAGCUCUGUUGUAAGAGAAGAACGAGUGUGAGAGUGGAAAGUUCACACUGUGACGGUAUCUUACCAGAAAGGGACGGCUAACUACGUG
rnacentral:rRNA from 1 species